rfam:TPA: Bos taurus chromosome 1, whole genome shotgun sequence.
UCCCUGGUGGUCCGGUGGUUAAGAAUCUAUCUUGCAAUGCAAGGGACACAGGUUCAAUUCCUGUUCAGGGAG